UAGACAACUAUACCACCUGCAAUGCUGGUACUUUGCUUUUAUAUUUAUUUAUGGGAUUAAAAAAAUAGUUUUACUGAUUAGCAUUUCUAAGCCCACCAUAAAUGAGCAGCCUUGUCUCUAUCCGGACUUCAAUCAAGUUCUAUUAAGACACAACCAGAGACCCUAAGAAGGUUGGGGAAAACUCUUUCCUCCUCUACACCUUGAUGGCCUUCACAUCUAAGUAGAGCUUUUUGAACUUAGAAUUCCUCUAAGAGAAACAGCUUUCUCAUAGAUCAUUAUCAAGAAACAGUGCCACACACAAAUGAACAGCAAGGUCGCCAGCUUCCUCCAUGCUCCUCCCCUUUUCCUGGACAUCACCCAGGGUAAAAGGAUUGAGGCCUGGUCACGGACCAUCUUGGCCAUCUUCUACCUUGUUUCUCCACGUCCAUGUGUCUAGAAAUGGAGGAUUGUGAGAUAGUGGAACAAACACAUGGAAGAAGUCUGGGUCACUGAGUUACCAGCUGGAGGAGAGCCACCCAAGAAAGCAAGAUAACUGGGAACAUCUGUACUGGGACUGGGUGUGUAUGCAAGAAGUAUGUCUUUAUUGUGUGGUGCUGCUGAGAUUUGGGGGCUGUCAUAGAAAUGAGCCUAUUUCGACUUAUUCAGUAACUUCUUAUAUAAGUAAGACAUAUAUA